UUUCAUGUUGGUAGAAACCAUUAUCAAGGCAGAUGUGAAAACGUCUAAAGCAGGACUUCAAAACAACGCACAUGAACAUAUUUACAAAGCAUGACUUCAAAACUAAUGAAUGAAUAAAAUGUGAACAUGUGACAAAAUAAGUGAGUCGAGCUGAAUCAGGAGGAAAUGAAUGUUUUAGGAAUCUGAGUUGAGGUACAAAGUGAUGGUCUAGCAAACAGCAACAUGAACCUGGAACUGCAGCGGAAGAAACUCCAGUGAAUCUGCAAACAGCUCUUAAUUCCGCUCAAUGCUGUCGUCAACAGAACAAAUUAUCUAUGGCAAAAACCUUUCAGAAGUGGAUCUACACGUAAUAUUUGGUGAAAACAAUGUAGAUCCCAGAGCAAGUUUUUUCUGUGAGAAUAACAGCAACAUUCAGCUAUCAAAAACUUACUGUUGGGUUUUGAUACC
rnacentral:lncRNA from 1 species